rnacentral:rRNA from 1 species
CGGGUGAGUAAUGCCUAGGAAUCUGCCUGGUAGUGGGGGACAACGUUUCGUAAGGAACGCUAAUACCGCAUACGUCCUACGGGAGAAAGCAGGGGACCUUCGGGCCUUGCGCUAUCAGAUGAGCCUAGGUCGGAUUAGCUAGUUGGUGAGGUAAUGGCUCACCAAGGCGACGAUCCGUAACUGGUCUGAGAGGAUGAUCAGUCACACUGGAACUGAGACACGGUCCAGACUCCUACGGGAGGCAGCAGUGGGGAAUAUUGGACAAUGGGCGAAAGCCUGAUCCAGCCAUGCCGCGUGUGUGAAGAAGGUCUUCGGAUUGUAAAGCACUUUAAGUUGGGAGGAAGGGCAGUAAAUUAAUACUUUGCUGUUUUGACGUUACCGACAGAAUAAGCACCGGCUAACUCUGUGCCAGCAGCCGCGGUAAUACAGAGGGUGCAAGCGUUAAUCGGAAUUACUGGGCGUAAAGCGCGCGUAGGUGGUUCGUUAAGUUGGAUGUGAAAUCCCCGGGCUCAACCUGGGAACUGCAUUCAAAACUGUCGAGCUAGAGUAUGGUAGAGGGUGGUGGAAUUUCCUGUGUAGCGGUGAAAUGCGUAGAUAUAGGAAGGAACACCAGUGGCGAAGGC